rnacentral:rRNA from 1 species
UACGGAGGGGGCUAGCGUUGUUCGGAAUUACUGGGCGUAAAGCGCGCGUAGGCGGACCUGCAAGUCGGGGGUGAAAGCCCGAGGCUCAACCUCGGAACUGCCUUCGAUACUGCGGGUCUCGAGUCCGGGAGAGGUGAGUGGAAUUCCUAGUGUAGAGGUGAAAUUCGUAGAUAUUAGGAAGAACACCAGUGGCGAAGGCGGCUCACGGGCCCGGUACUGACGCUGAGGCGCGAAAGCGUGGGGAGCAAACAGG